GCCAGGUGUGGUGGCGUACACCUGUAAUCCCAGGUACUGGGGAGGCUGAGACAGGAGAAUCACUUGAACCCGGGAGGUGGAGGUUGCAGUGAGCCAAGACUGUACCACUGCACUCCAGCCUGGGUGACAGAGUGAGACUCUGUCUCAA
rnacentral:SRP_RNA from 1 species